UCUAACAAAUGACCUUUGUCUUUGCUUUUAUUUUCAUUUUCAGGCUCUGACCUUGCAGAGGUCAGGCGGUUUAAGAAUCUUGGCAGGAUGAAAAAAGCAGGAUUCGUCCUCCUAAUUGCUUUAUCUCUCUGGCCACCACGUCAUCCUGCUUCGGCCAAGGUCAGUAAUUUUCCUAAAUCAUCGUGUCCCAGAAUGACACAGGUCAGAGCCCAGAGGACACAUGGAGCUCAUGCUGAAAGGCGCAGCCUUUGCACAAACACCCAUCGCCUGCUCGGCUUUGUCUCUCCAUUUGAGAGCCUGUGAAGUUCUUGUUUUGCAGAAAAAGGAAGAAUGAUUCUGAUGUAACAACAGGACUCUGGGAGCUGGAGAUUCAUGGGGGAAGAAUAAGCAAAUAGCAAGCAGCUCUGGAUAAAGUGGUGGGAACACGUCCUCCCCUGUGCACUGAGAGCAGCACAACCAACCUGCAGUUAAACAUUGACGAGUUGCCUCCUGACAGUGGAUUUCCUGGAAUCCUUUCAGCUAAGGUCAUCCUUUCGGAUGUGCUACAGAGCUGAUUUAAACACCCACUGGGAAAGUGACUGGAUCAGCAGCUCUUUGAAAGUAGAAGUGGCCCAAGCGCUUUGCUCUCAGCUCUCACAGUUCCAGUAGGUUUGUGUGAUGAAGACUCAACCAGGGCCCAACGUGACAUCGUUCAACCCUCUUUCGGCAGCGGCACCUCUAUUUCUCACUUGGUACUCAAGAUGCCCAACAGUUCCUCCACCGUCAACGCUGUAUCUCAAGGCUUUUGGCACUCCAUUUUUGAGCCAAGAGGUUUUGACACCACAGGAGACCUCACCUCCUGCCUGAGGCCAGAUUUUGACCAUAAAAGGGAAGGAUGGAAUGUUGGGCGACAGCCCCGAUUGGCUGAGCACCUUCUCAUGAUGGUUUCAGGGGAAAUAACCAGGUCGGAGUCAUUUUCCUCUCCCCUCCCAUCCCGAGUCAAGAAUGAAAACAAUGCGACCAAACCGUGUGGUUCACCAUUGAAACCAAGGCAGGACUUUUUGUGUCUGUGCCUCCUACUGUUCUUGGUUCCACCUGCAUGAAACCGAGCCCUCGCUUCUGUGUGUCCCAUCCAACAUCUCUGUGGCCACCGUUGGUUGAUGCUAUCUUGGAGGUGAAUGGGAGUGAUUCGGUGGCCACGUUGGCCAGGAACCCACAACUGCCUCCUGCCAACCUGACAGCCUUCUGCUGGGAGAACUCAAGAACCUCCUUCUUGUGGUUGCAUAUCCUAUAUCCAAAACCUGGCAGAACAAAGUGCCUUUGUGCUUGGACACCCCUCCCACCCAGCUGCGUUGUGGCUGCCCUCAUUAGAUCACUUCUGCGGCUAAAAUAGGACUUCACUCUCGUGACUCAUUUGCCUAAAAUGUGCCACCAGCACUGACUUACAACCUUUAAUAAAAAUGAUAAAGAAGCUGAGAGAGUUUCCUGGAAACCUUGUCAGCCUUGAGUUGGGAGCAGAUGUUGGCAGCAAGCAAAGUAUUUUUAAGCUCCAUAAAGGCAUUUUCCUGUUUAAUGAUUACCCUGAGAAAUCUCAAGGCUGAAUCAGAGUGUUUGUGAUCAGCUUCACCCUGCUGGGAAAGCCGCACCCAGAGAAAAAUUCUCCUCUCCUCACCUUCACCCAGUGAGAACAAGCUGGUGGUGUGGGUAACACUGGCCCUGAAGCCAGAAGCUGCUCCCAGUCGUCACCAACUUCUUCCUGUUUGCCCUCCAUUUGCAGCAGCUCUGGUGCCAGUCCUAGCAGGCGCUGAGCAAGCCCUGGUUAAGAAGAAAUUCUUCUAUUCGCUGCAUUCUCAAGGCUUUGAGAAUAGUCUUUUUCCUACAGAAACUCUUCUCAGCCUCCUGCCUGCAGGAAUCCCCUUUGCAAGGGAAAACGUUCUCAGUGCUGGUUGUUGAGGCUCAUUGAAUGAGUUGUUGAGGCUCAUUGAAGCCUCUUUGGUACUUAGUGCAAAUCUUCUCCCCUGUUGCUCCUCCACGUCAGCAUUCUCCCUCUUUCUGGGGCAGCACUUUGCAGACAAGCUCCAGAGACCUUUUACCAUCACCCACCUUUCCAUCAGGCCACUCGCUCUGAUCCCACCCCAUGGGUGCCAUUUCUCUCCCAGGACAGCAGUGCCUUGCAUCACUUCACCACCUGCUGCAAUUCCUCUUGUUGGUGCUACCACAGCUGUUUCUUCAGCAGCGACCGCAGCGACGAGCACUGAGACCUAUCGCAGCAUCACUGCUUGUCCCCACAAAACCAGAGGGGAACCAAAGCAUCUUACUCAUUGGUAUUGGAGCAGUGUACCCCAUCACCUCCCUCCUGCUCCUGGGCAGUGGUUUGGGAGAGGAGGAAGAGGUUGCUGUGCUCAUUUUGGGGCAGAGAACUUGUUCCUGGUGCCAUUCUCCACCGUUGUGGGUUAUAUGCAAUGCUUGGCUUUGGGGUUUUGGAUAGCCAAAGCCUGGAAGGAGGCUUUUUUGCAAGAUAAGGAUGAUGGUGGCACUGGGAGGGUUGUUAUCUGUGUGGUUCAGGGUGAUGAAGCAGCUCUGAAAGCUGCAGCAGGAGCAUGGGUAGGACCAACACAGCCAAAAGUUUAUGCAGUGGUUUGCUGCUGGUUUUGCUACACAGAUUUGAGUCAUCGGGUCCUUGGGUCUGAGCUGUGCUGCUCUGCACUGUGCGGGGCAUUAGCUGCUGGAAGCACAGCCUGUGUCCU